rnacentral:lncRNA from 1 species
AUUAUUACUAGAAGUACCAGGAUCCUCAUGCUCCAGGGUUGUUGUCCUUUUCUCUCUCUCUUUCUCAAGCACUCUCUCUUUUUCUCUUGCAGAUGAAAUUGAGGCAAUGGCUAGGAUUCAUGUCCAUGGGGAGUAUACUGACCUGUGUGGUAUGACGUCAGCUCAAAGAGCCUGCAGAACAAAGCUCUGUCACAACUGUGCUUCCUGGUUGUCGCCUCCUGCCUGCAAGCGGCUGAACGUCGUCGUCCCCCCCCUUCGUAUCAUCAUCAUGCAGAAGGGGAUGAGCCAGACGCAAUGAGAGAUUCAGGUAAUUCCACCAAAAAUAUGUUCCAAUAUCUGGUGCUGUGUUAGUGCUGCUAUCUCUGGAGCACUGCCUUGCAUGGACAUCUUGUUGAACUCGAUUUUAUGUCUGUGGUUGCAUCACCAUUGAUUUUUAAGUGAGCGACGCCGAGUCCUCUAGUUCAUUAACACACACAUAAAUGAAGUAGAGACUGGUCUCUUAUUCGUUUAAAAUGCCUGCCAACAGAGGCAAACAUGCAGCAAUUUGACGGAUGCUAGGGGCUAAUGUAUUUUUUUCCCCAGCUGUGACUAGAGCAAAAUAAAUAAGCAAUUAGAACAACUUUAAUUUUUUCU